AUUUGCCGCAGUUGUUUGACGACGGCCGUCGAGCUGUAAAGCAACUUUGGUCCGGAAGGAAAUUCUUCACUCUAAUACAGUCCGGGGGAUGACGGGUACCGGAAGAAUAAGCACCGGGCUAAACUACGUGCCAGCAGCCCGCGGUAAAUACGUAGGGUGCGAGCGUUAAUCCGGAAAUUACUGGGCGUAAAGCGUGCGCAGGCGGUUUGCUAAGACCGAUGUGAAAUCCCCGGGCUCAACCUGGGAACUGCAUUGGUGACUGGCAGGCUAGAGUAUGGCAGAGGGGGGGUAGAAUUCCACGUGUAGCAGUGAAAUGCGUAGAGAUGUGGAGGAAUACCGAUGGCGAAGGCAGCCCCCCUGGGCCAAUACUGACGCUCAUGCACGAAAGCGUGGGGAGCAAACAGGAUUAGAUACCCUGGUAGUCCACGCCCUAAACGAUGUCAACUAGUUGUUGGGGAUUCAUUUCCUUAGUAACGUAGCUAACGCGUGAAGUUGACCGCCUGGGGAGUACGGUCGCAAGAUUAAAACUCAAAGGAAUUGACGGGGACCCGCACAAGCGGUGGAUGAUGUGGGAUUAAUUCGAUGCAACGCGAAAAACCCUUACCCUACUCCUUUGACAUGGUCGGAAUCCCGCUGAGGAGGUGGGAGUGCUUCGAAAGAGAACCGGCGGCACAGGUGCUGCAUGGCUGUCGUCAGCUCGUGUCUGUGAGAUGUUGGGUUAAGUCCCGCAACGAGCGCCAACCCUUGUCCUUA
rnacentral:rRNA from 1 species